AUGAAUCUUUUGGCCUGGAACUGUCGAGGACUGGGGUUGGACUCGACAGUUGGCGAACUUAGAGACCUGAUACGGUCAUACAACCCAGCGGUGGUGUUCUUAUCGGAGACAAAGAAGAGUGCAAAAGCGAUGGAGAGGCUCAAAUGGAGCCUUGGCUUUACGUAGGGAGUAGCGGUGAACUGUGUCGGAAAAAGUGGUGGUUUGGCAUUGUGGUGGAGA
rnacentral:rRNA from 1 species